rnacentral:rRNA from 1 species
UACGGAGGGUGCGAGCGUUGUCCGGAAUCAUUGGGCGUAAAGGGCGCGUAGGUGGCGGGACAAGCGUGCGGUGAAAGCCUGGGGCUCAAACCCCGGGUCGGCCUGCGAACUGUUUUGCUUGAGCACUGUAGAGGCAGGCGGAAUUCCGGGGUGUAGCGGUGGAAAUGCGUAGAGAUCCGGAAGAACACCGGUGGCGAAGGCGGCCUGCUGGGCAGUAGCUGACAACUGAGGCGCGACAGCGUGGGGAGCAAACAGG